AGGAUGGGUUAGGAUUGCUGAGAUGGGCUGGAGCCGGGGCAGGGGGCCUCCAGCUAAGAGAGGCCUCCUGAGCUUACCUCAUUUGGUCUCAGGGCUAUUCUCAUUUUCCAGAUGAGCAGUGAUGUGAACAAUAUUGGGAAGCAUCAAAGAAAUUGAUGUAAAGUGUCUGGCACAGAGUGAGUGCUCAGUGAUUGUGGGUGCCCUCUCGUCCAGCUCCUCUCUGCUCUGAACAUGCCUUUCUCACGGCACUUAUGAGAAUGUGCCAUCGCUGUUUACUCCUUGUUUGUCCCCCUCUACAUGCUAAAUUCUUGAGGCCCAGGGACUGUGUUACACUCAUCUCCACAGCCCCAGGCCUAGCAAAGUGCCUCCUGCCUAGUAGGUCCUCAGUAUUUGCUGAAUGAAUGGAUGAUGAUUUCAUGGAAGAAUCACCCCCUAAAGUUUCCAGCAACAGGCUGAGGAAACUCAGGAUGAAAACAUCAUGUCUCUUGCCCAGUCUUCACCAUGCUUUUUAGUGGCGGUCACUGCACUGCAUGUUUUCUUUAAGAAGGGUGAGCUCAUGCCAAGGAUGAGGGCAUGGGGUCUGUGCCGGGCACUUCCCAGUUCCACAUUCUGGGUGUAGGGAAGAGGGAGGAUGCCCACAGAGAGGGAGGGAACCAAAUGCAGGAAAGGAGGGCAGGAGGGGCAGUGUUGGCUCCUGGCGGGCCUGGCAUAUGGCUGUGCUCCGAGUUACUUCUGGUCCUGUGUGUGGGGCUGAAGCUUCAGCUGCCACCAGACAUCCCUGCCACGUCCCUCUUGAGAGUCCUAACCUCACUCUCAAGACUCACCCCGAUGCUCUCCAUGAAAAUAAAACGCACCUUCCAUGAAGUGUCCCCAGAAAGCUCCACGGGGGAGGAAGUGCCACUGAGAAAUGAGAACCAAUCCCAGGUGAAAGUCAUGAGCUGAAAGGCCCAUAUCAGGCUGUCGUGGAUGACCUUGGAUGCCCUUGAGGUGUCCUUAAAGGAGGCAGCAUUCGCUUUCUCCCAGUGUGUGUGUGGCAGACCAUAUGCAAGCUUUUGGGCUGACCCAGUUGUGACUAUCACUGUGUCCUCGGGUUUCAUCUUGGGGAAGGGAGUUGGACCAGUUCUUACUCCUGGAGGCUGAUUUCCUAAAGUGCAAAAUUGGGCCAGUCUGUUGAGGCCCAAGUGUUCUGGAAAAGAUCUCUGACAGAUACAUGGAAACUGAAUUUAGUUGCUAGUUAAGAGCUUUCAUGGGAGCAGAGCUCUUGGCUGUGGGUUUCUUAAUUGUCAGGUAUACAUUAGGGCAGUGGUCCCUAAACUUUUUGACCAUGGAGACUGGUUUUGUGGAAGACAGUUUUUCAUAGAUUGGUUUCAGGAUUAAACUGUUCCACCUCAGAUCAUCAGGCAUUAGAUUCUCAUAAGGAGCGUGCAACCCGGAUCCCUCCCAUGCACAGUUCACAAUAGGGUUCCAGCUCCAAUGAGAAUCUAAUGCCACCGCUGAUCUGACAGGAGCUCAGGUGGUAAUGUUUGUCCACUGCUCACCUCCUGCUCUGUGGCCUGGUUCCUAACAGGCAAUGGACUGGUACCGGUCUUCGGCCCAGGGGUUGGGGAUCCCUGCAUCAAGGGACAGAACAACAUUUUGCAGAAGGAAAAAACUGGUCUUCUUCCUGCUUCUCCUUUUUUCUGUACUCGGCCUUCUCUCACUUGUGGACACUUCGUGGACAUAGAAGAGGGGUGCAACACUGCAUCUGGUUCCUCCAAGUGUGGUCUAAGACCUGCAACCUCUGCAUCUCCUGGGAGCUUCUCAGAAAGGCUGAGGCUCAGGCCUCAGCCCAGACCCACAGGAUCAGAAUCUGUAUCUUGACAAGACUCCCCUGGUGACCUGAAUGCAUGUUCAAGUUUGAGAACAUUGAUCUAAUCAUGGAAAUAGGUGUUUUGUGACCCAACAGCCCUCACUUGGAUUCUAGACCCAAAUCCGUAACACACUAACUGUGUAACUGGGGCAGGUUACUCUGAGGCUCUUCGAGUCUCCGAAUCCUCAUUUGUAGAAUGGCACAGAAGUGCCCACUCUAUUAUAGAGUUGUUAAUGGGAUUAAAUUAGUGAAUGUAAAGCUCUUGGCACCCAGUGCUGGGAAGGGCAGCUAUGGAGAUGAUAAUCAUUCCCCUUUGCCCCCCUUCCCAAUCCUGGCACCCAGGACCAAGGCCAGUGCUCUCAGCAGGAGGGAAGCAAGAGCACUGGCUUGACCCGUUGGUGCUCAGGACGGGUAGCACUAAACAGUCCUUCCAAUCAACUUCACGUUUCAAGUGCCUCACCGAGGAUGUUGAUAGCAAUGGGUACAGUUGAGUAACAGUUUACUCGUAUUAUUUCAUUAGAUAUUUUUAUUAGUGCCGUUAUUUCCAUGCUUUUGAAGGAAUUCAUGAGUUUUCAACUUGUAAAUGCAACACAUUUUAAAAUAGCAGUCUUUAAAAGUUAUGGUUGUAAGUUUUAGGCCCUCUGAAUUAAUGUCCUGCCCUAUGUGUCUGGGCAUGAGGCCACAGAUGCCACACAGACUGUACCUAGUGCUGAGUGGAGCCUAUGUGGAAGGGCUGCAGGGUUCAGCUAGAAGUAUCCACUGGGGCAAAGCUAGUGUUGGAAAGAUCCUGGUCUGGCAGCAGAAUGGGCAUCAACGUUGUAAGACUGCAUGUAGCAGGGGGUGGCUGGAUCACCUGGAGCCCAGGGACAAGCCUUGGCACAUCUAUCCCUUCUGAUUGAUUUUAUAUAUUGAAGUCUGCUCUCAUGGGUCUCCUUGCCUUGAAGAUAAUUUUCUCUGUUUUCUGCUAAGGUCCUGAACAUUUCUGGCACAUUACUUGGACCUGAUGGUAAACUCAUUGCUUUGUCACAAGGCACUGGGAGGUUAUCAGCACUGAGAUGCUUUCCAAUGUGCAGUCUCAACCCAGUCCCCUCGGCACACCCACUUCACUUAGACAGUGGGACCUCAAUAAAAAUGUGUUUGAAAGGACACUGUGCCAUCAUUAUUGGUUUAAUGGUCAGGGCCAAUGGGGAAAAGGGAGCAAUGUUGAGAAGUGUGAAUAUGAGGGAUAUCUCACAAAGCAGGUAGGAAGUCAAGAAAUGUAGGUGAAAUGGACAGGAAAGAUUUUUUUUUUUCCAUAAGCCUCUUCAUGUUUAUCUUGGAAGUGAAGAAUUCUAAGACUACUCCAUGAAUUGUCAUUGUGGUAGCUACUCAGUUAUUCUUAGAUAAAACCAACAGUCCCAAAUCUCAGAUAACUGUCAGGAAUAAUGUUAGAAAAGUCAAGAUGAAAUCUUUCUGUGCUUUCGAAGAUCACACUUGGUUUUGAUCCAGGCGGCCAAACCACACUGUCCUGCAGGAUGGCCACUCUGUCAGUUGGUGACUUCUUGCUCCAGGGAGCCCUGGGAGCUGAUAACUCUUGGUUGGGGAAUGUUCCUCUAGCUUUUUACCAAUUCAGUCUUUCAUUGACUGGUUAUUCUUGCUUUUGUGGGCGGCCAUACAAAUCAUGUGCUGUGGGGAAGUCAUGUCAAUCAUUUCACUGUCUACAGGAUUCCCUGGAAGCUUGAAGCAAUUUUUCAGAUAAUUAAGUCCACAGAAUACUUUUUUUCCCUCAAUGAUUGGGAUAUCUCAAGUGAGUCAAAACUUUAUUGCGAUUGCCUCAAUUCUCCAUUUUCCUGGUCAUAUAUCAAAAAAGACUUUCUGCUUCCUAUAUGUGGGGCUUAGCAUCCACAUUGUAAUUCACCAGAGACUCUCUGGAGAGCUUGGCUUGGUCCCAUGUAUCCUAGUACAAGUUUGCCACUGGUCUAAGUUAGAAAAUAUCCAGAUUUGGGGCCCACAGAAAUGUCCACUUUUAUACUUUAUUUUUUAAAUGGAGAGGAGUCUCUGAGUGAGAGAGGAUUUGGAAAAAUGGCCAGCAGAGAACAAUAACAAUAGUGACUAACAUUUAUUGAGUACAUACCAUGUGUUAACUGUGUGAAAUAAUUUUCAUGUAAACCUUUUGGCAACCUAAGGUUGACAGCAUGGAAGCUUUGAGAGUGUAAGUUUCUUGUCCAGAAUUUUAUAACUAGAAAGUGACAGAGCCUGGAUUCCAACCUAUACCCAUGGACACCAGAGUGUCCGUAUGUGUCUUUCCAGUGAGCGAUGGUUCACACUCAUUGGAAACAUGAGUGCCAUUGGAACAUACUAGUCAAUAUGAUGCUGAAAACAGUAACAGAAAGAGUGCAGGUGUUGAAUACGUGUUCCUUUUCACACUGGAAAGAAAGAUGGUGAGAAGUUGGCAUGUCUUCCACGCAAUUCCAUCCCAUCAGCUGGUCUCCAAAUUCCCACUCCUCUUGGUUCCCACUUCUCUUUGUCUCUUUCCAGAAGGAAACAAACUCCCUGAUGACCCUCACUGAAAAUUCACAAACUCUACAAAUUUCAAUAGAUUAGCUGUGGCUUCUUUUUAAAAUACUCAUAGGUAGCUGGGUCCUGGAGAGCUCUAAAGCCCUCUAAUUUUGCUUGCAGACUGAAGAAGGGAAACUCGAGUCACUGGAGACAAAGGGGCAAAGGCAUGGGUUUGGCAGCAGAGGGAAAGAAAUGGUCUGUGACCAGGGCUUAAGCUGUCUGUGUUGGCUCUGAAUGACAGUAUGCUCUUGCUCCAAGGACCUUAAUUGGCUGAUAGAGUGAUUGCUUUGGCCAAAGGUCCAAUUAAUACUCAAGAUUUGAGGAUUGGUUUUCCAACCCCAGUUGGAUGACUUUCCUGGCAAGCAAAGGUUACCACUGUAAAUUCAAUUCGCUUCCUUAACUGUGCACCCACUCUAUAAUGUAAGGCUAUCAUUCUGUCUGGUUAAUUCCAGACAAGACUUUGUGAGCAGAUGGGGAAUUUGGAUUUUCAAAUUCGAAAAAAAAAAAAAAAGCAUAAGUGAGUGUGAGUUUUAUGUAGUUACCUCGAUGCUCCACCUUGUGGAAAAUGUGCUAAAUCCCAAUGUAGUAGGAGGCAGGAUUGGAAAUGUGAAGCAGAGUGGUUGGCCCAGGGGUUUAUGCUUACUGAGAAUGUUCUCAUCAAUAGCUUGCUGUGAUUGGCUAUGGACCUAUUGAAAUCACCAUUAAACUAGAAAACAAAGUUACUCAGCCCUUGUGUGGAAAGUGUCUAAGACAGUAAUGCAGAGGCCGUAGUCUGAAGGUGGCAUCUCGCACUACAGAACAAUGGUAGGAGCUCCAGGUUCGGAUCAUGGUUCUGAAUUUACUAGUUGUGUGCACUUAAGUUGCUUAGUCUAAUUAAUAAAACAGGGAUGAUAAUUCCUCUUUACAGCUUUGUUGCAAGGAUUGCAUUAAAGAAAACAUGUAAAAGCAUAAGGGCAUUCAAUUAAUGUUACAAGAGCCCUUCCCUCAACCCCAAGGGCGGCUGCAGCUGUUCAGCCUGACACUUUAUGUGUGUUGGUCACAGUGCUGUUUUGGAGAAUCACAUACGGGAUAGUGCUUACCUCCCCAUAGCAGCCACGUCAUAGCAAAUAGCUCAUUAGCAUGCAGUUUCUUCCCUCCCUGUUCAGCAGCCCAGCAGACAAGCUGUCUCAGAGCCUGGAUUUCAGCAUGUUGCACUCACCGCAAAUAUUCUGCAGGCUGCCCACUCCAUUCUGCUGCCCUUUGCAAGGCUUCACUUUGCCCUCCAACCCUUUUUUUCUCUUGUUUACCAGAUGGAACGAAGUCUGUUUGUGGAAACACCCUUCCCCUCUGUUUACUUGGACCUGAUUUUGAAAGUAGCAAGUCACUUUAUUUGGGCUGGAGGAAAAAGCACUAAACCAGAUGUUGAGGUGACCGGGAUUCCUGGAAGACAUUCUUCUCUCCAACGAGACACAUGAUGCAUGAAGUAGGAGCCCCUGGCAAGGAGCCCAGGCCGCCAUGGCCUCGCUUGCUUCUGCUUCCCGGCAUGGCCCCGAGGCUAGCUGCCUCUGUACCGCCUGAGCAUCGUCCCCUGGCGUGUCACCAGACUACCCACUACCUGUGCUUGCACCUGCAGAUGGGCAGUUCAGUCGUUGCAGGCUGAAGCUCCCUGUCACAGGAGUCCAUCAGCACUGGAGUUUACCAAAUGGCCCAGUCCAGGUCUGUGUCAUAUUGUUUUGCAAAAGCAAGAAAACUCAUUCAGGGCUUGUUACUUUUAUCCCUGACUUCCUAAGUGAGCAGUGUAGCCAGAGAACUACAUCCCCUGACAUCCUUUAAGAGCCAUGACCACUCCUGCCCUUGCUUUGUGACAGGCACUCCUGGAUGCUGAAGUGCUGUUGCUGUGCACCACUGUGCAUCCUGUGCGAGGAUGAGCACUCCAGUCCUUACUCCCUCUUCCCGUGGCUGGCUCAUUAGCCAGAGCAAACUGUGGCCCUGAAGGAGCAGAAGGAGCAUUUGACUCUUCCCAGCUGUCAGUCUUUGGAAAAUUAAGCAAAGUGGAAUGAAAGGCAUUUAUUCAUUUAACUGGCAGUUAUUUAUUGAGCAUCUAUUAUGUGGCAGGCACCGUGGUGACACUGAAAAGAGAAGGGUGAACAAGGACAGUCCUGAGCUCAAGCAGGCUGCUGGCAGGUGGUAGUGGGGGCAGACAAGGAAAGGGGCACCCAUGCCAUGGCCUGCAAUGCACCACCUCCAGGACAAGGCUUGGGACCCAUCCCUGGGUCUUGGGGGACAUUCUAAAAGGAAGCGGUGGCUCAGCAUAGACCUGAAGGACAAGAAGGCACCAGUCAUGUGUGGAGUGGGUUGGUGGAGAUGCGCAAAGUGCAAGGAGGUCUGGAGGUGAGACCUCCAGGCAGAAUGGAGGGAGGUGUGUCCCAUAGCAUGUGGACUCUAAGGGGCUGGGAGAUCUUAGGGGUACCUGGAGGCUGACUGAAGGCUGGCCAGGGAGCCUGCCUGGUAAGGGCCUCCAAGGUCAGGUUUGGGUGUAAGAGUAGCCAUUUCUAGCACUGGUUGAGGUGCACUUCCCUGUCAGUGCCCCAAAAUCCUUCAGCAGUGUCUGAUACGAUGUUCUAGACGGGCAUUGUUUUCAGUGCAGGCCCUGUCUCAUUCUUCAGGAAGCAUGCUCAUGGCAAUACCCGGAGUCUCCACUGCAAGACCAGAGUGAUGGAGGCAGCAGAGCUCCUCAGCAGGCCAGGAGUCUCCAGAGGCACUGCCGAAUGUCUAAGAAGCAACCUCAUUGUAUUCCCAAGAGCUGGGAAUCCAGGUCUCGCAGAUACGAUGAUACAAUCUAUAGCCAGGACAUCUCUUCAUGUGUAGUUUUCAAUGAAUACUAGGAUAAGCAACUAUCCCAGUCUUCCCAGGAUUGAGGGACUUCUCCAGAUGCUGCACUUCCGGUGCUAAAAAUUAGAAACUGAAAUGAAUUAGUCACCCAAGGAAUGCUGACCCUGUGCUAUAUGAUCACAUUUACUCUUUAAAGCAAUGCUUUGAGAACAAUUGAUCUGCAUAGUCCCUGCAAUCUUAUAAAGGCAUUUGGCCUGGAAGAUGCUCUGCAGCCAUGUGCCAAGAAUAACGGCUAUAGGGACAAUGUUUCAUUAACCCCAAAGCAGCAACCUGAACCUCUUACUGUACAAUAUCUGCUCCGUUCAGAAUUAGCUCGACUUGAGUCACAGGGUGAAGCUUACCAAAAGGAAUUUCCAUGUCCAAGGAAGGAACCAAGAUCACUGAGAGGUUAUAGUAUGAAAAGUGAAGAGAAAAAACCUAUUCUAAACAUUUUAUUAAUUGUCAAUAAUUAUUUUAAAAUAUUUAAUAUAGUCUCCUACCUGGUCCACUGGCAUCAAGCUGCCAAAUUUACACGGUCACUUUGGGAAGCCAGCUGGCAGGCAAACAUGGAAAGUGCUGGCUCCUAGCGUAGUGAGAAGACCACAGAUAGAUGGUAAUUUUCUUCUUUGUUUUAUUUUCCUUUUUCUUCUCUCCCUCUUUUUCUUCCCUCUUGCCUUUCCCUCCCAUUGCCCACUUUCUUUUUUUGGCUGCUGAAGAUUUAUUGCCUUUCAGUACUUAUAGAUGAUGUUUUCAUAAGUUCUAAUGAGGUCCCAGCAGUUUUUAACAAUAACAGGACAUUACUGUUCCUAAGAUAUAUUAUGUGUUUUCCCUCAUCUUUCUCCCUUGAAUGAAAUGCUUAGAAGUAGGCUAACCCCCAAUUCCCUUCCCUUUACUAUGAUAAAUGGCUCCAUUACUUAAUAGGGCUAAAUACUCUGCUGUGACUUUUAUACUGCUGAUUUGAAUAAAAUCUUACGAAAAGCU
rnacentral:lncRNA from 1 species